AAAGUUUGAUCAUGGCUCAGGAUGAACGCUAGCUACAGGCUUAACACAUGCAAGUCGAGGGGAAACGACAUCGAAAGCUUGCUUUUGAUGGGCGUCGACCGGCGCACGGGUGAGUAACGCGUAUCCAACCUGCCCAUCACUUGGGGAUAACCUUGCGAAAGUAAGACUAAUACCCAAUGAUAUCUCUAGAAGACAUCUGAAAGAGAUUAAAGAUUUAUCGGUGAUGGAUGGGGGAUGCGUCUGAUUAGCUUGUUGGCGGGGUAACGGCCCACAAGGCUACGAUCAGUAGGGGUUCUGAGAGGAAGGUCCCCCCANAUUGGAACUGAGACACGGGUCCAAACUCCUACGGGAGCA
rnacentral:rRNA from 1 species